GGGCUCAGAGAUGUGACAGAGAAUACCGGGCCUGAAGGUUCAGCUGUGCACAAGAGAAAGGGCCUUGGAUGGCGUGAUGGCACAUGCUUAUGAUCCCAAUGCUCAGAAGGACAGCUGCAGGAUUGAGGCUAUCAUGGGCUAUAGAGGCUAUCACGGGCUAUGGAGUGAGUAUUUCAAUACUGGAAUGCAUAUUGAAACCCUGAUUGAAAACGACAUGACUAAUGUAAAUAAACAUGGAGGCCUGUGAUAAGAUAGCAACGUCCUAGGAAAGGAAGCUGUAAGGGGUUUUGUGUUUUGUUUUGUUUUGUUUUGUUUUUCUUGCUUUCAAUCUGUUUCUAAAAGUAACAUAUGCUGGCCUUGAACGUUUGAGCAGUGAAGACAUCUGAGUAAGCAGGACAAAGCCUCAUGGAAGACAUUGAGGGUGGCGGGGAGGUGGUGGUGCGGUUGAGGUACUAUUUGUCUAGACUGGUUUUUGUUUUUGAACGGUGCUGGAUUCUGAUGUUAGUAAUAAUGAAGCCCAGUAGAGAAGCUCUGAUCUCCCACAAUCUCCAAAGCCUUGGAAAAUACCCAGACCUGUUCUCUGGAGUUGGCCAGAAUUCCCACUAAAUGUUGUUCUUUCUUAAAACAAAUACUGAAAAUGCAAGAGAGCAUUCUUAGUUCACGUCCUAUUUUUGCUUAGUGACUACCGUUCCUACACUGUUUCCUAGACUGUUUUCUAAGUAAACCUCGGGGGCAGCAGAUCCAUGACAGGUAAGACAAGCUGCUGGUGCUAUAUGGAUAUUCAACUACCAUCUGAGCAUGGCUUCUCAAAGGCAACGCAGAUCCAACUUUGGUCACACAACAUGGAAAUAGAUAAUGCUGACUCAUGACUGGGAAGACCAGAAAGGGGACUAGAAUUUGUUGUAGAAAUUAUUUAAAUCCUGGCCUGGGGUUUCUAACCCAUUUUUAACCAAUUAGCUCCUGAAUGAAAGAUACACUUAAAACCUUUAUAUUUACAAUAAGCCUUAAACAACACAAGAACUGGGCAGUUGUCUACCCUCUGUGUUAUUAGAAUCUACUUUCCAAUGCAUAACCCUGAGUACUUUUCAAUGGAUAACCCUGAGUUAUUACUUACCAUGUUUCAUCUGGGCUGCUCUUAACGCCAGUCGGCCAGCCCUCAGGGCCAUGUUUUUGUUGUUGUUUUUUUGUUUGUUUGUUUUAUUUUGUUUUUGUUUUUUGUUUUUUUGUUCUUUUUUUUUGAGACAGGGUUUCUCUGUGUAGCUCUGGCUGUCCUGGGACUCACUUUGUAGACCAGGCUGGCCUCAAACUCAGAAAUCUACCUGCCUCUGCCUCCCGAGUGCUGGUGGCGAAUGCCUUUAAUCCCAGCACUCCGGAGAGCCAUGUUCUUAUGACUCACCCAACCCUUGGCUGCCUCUCCCUCACCUCCACCACUCUUCUCCCCUCCUGUUCCUCCUGAGAAACAUCGACCCCACCUCUGUCUCUUCUGCCGGGCUAUUGGCUGUCGGCAUCUUUAUUUACCAAUCAGAAGUAACUUGGGGGCAGGGUCACUCAGUGUCUUCUGUGUGGACUCUCUCAUUUCCUGGGCACGAGUCUUGGAGCCCCCAAUUAGCAUUAGAAUACAAGCAGCAUUAGGCCAACCACGACAGGAGUUGGGGCAGGUUUAAUUUUGAACCUAGCCUGGGAAUGCUCUGGCUUGGGGUGAAUCGUUUUCAUGUUACUCUGGAGUAUUAAAGUAGUUCUUUAUUUUUUAUUUAUGUAUGUCUGUGUGAGUGUGUGCCAUUUGUAUGUAUGUGUGUGUGUAUGUGUGUGUGUGAGAGAGAGAGAGACAGAGACAGAGAGACAGAGACAAGGAAAGGUGUUCGUGAAGAUGCCUGUGGUAACCAAAAGAAGACAUCAUGUUCCCCUGGAGCUGGAGUUUCAGGUGAUUGUGAGUUACUCAACAUAGAUGGCGGGAACUGAACUUGGAUCCUCUGGAAGAGCCAAUUCAAUGAGCCAUCUCUCAGCCCUAAAGAUGCCCCUUUAUGCAAUGCAGCGUUUGUUAUAUCUAGUGACACUUUCCCAUCAGUGAGUACUGUCUUUGUUCCUUCUCUAUCCCCAGCCAAAUAUCUAUCCAUAACUUGAUUUAGAGCAAAGGAGGUAUGGCCUGUAUUAUUGAGAGGGUCUUAGUUAUUUUUUCUGGAAGAUAUAAUUAAGGUCUCCCCAAAAUGGGACUCGGUUGGCAGGUUGGAAACUCGACCACCAUCCCCUACCGCCAUCUAAAUCAUUUACCCAAACAAAAGCAGCCCAUGUCCCUCCUUGAUUUAUGAGAUGAAAUCCAUUAAAGAUGAAAUCCACGGUGGUCUUGGAAUGUAGAGCUCCAAGAAGCAAAUAUUUAUUUCCCAGAAUAAUAAUGAUCGGUGCUGACCAAGCAGGAAGUGAAUAGCGGUGCACAUGUGGGCAGAAAACACAGCUUUGGGUGCGCCUGGAUUCCAGGCAGCCUGCUUCCUGUAAUUCGCUCAGGAGUUGAUUUUUAAAGAAUGCUUCCUUUGGAGCCCAAGUUCUUCCUACUUGGUUCCAGCCCAAAGGUGAACAUUUUUGGGAAAAGGUUAAGUCUUUUCAGAUGUCUUGGAGGCUCACGAGGAGGAGAAGCUAAACCGUUCUCGCAUGCGCGUUCUUUCCAACCUCAUGCCGGACCGCCAAUGAGUUUGACCGUCGCUAGCUUUGUUCCGUUUUGAGUGUCUCACGGUUUGCUCAAAACUAGUUUAUGGGAAAAUAAAAUUUUUUUCAAAUAAAUUCCCCAAAUAGCUACUGUGGUACUUGCUUAGAAAAGUCAACCUUUCAAAGCAUGAGAAAGGUGAUUCUAAAAGUGUCUAUACAGAAAUGAUCAACAGGAAAACCGGUAGGGUGGAGUACAUUAAAAUUCCAGAAAAUAAUAAUAAUAAUAAUAAUAAUAAUAAUAAUAAUAAUAAAGAAUGAACCACAAGACAUAGUUAAGCUUUGAAGUACCCAUAGAUUGGGUAAAAAAAAAAUGUUCAAAGUUAAAACCGACGCUGUUAGUUCAGCUUCAACAGUUAGUAGCUGUGUGUCCCCAGUUAUGGUACUUCCUGUCUCUCAGUCCUAGACUUCACUUCUCAGGGGGUCAUGAUAGACUUCUACCUUAGAAGAUGGUUGGCUAAGGCAGGGAUAGUGGUCUGUGAUUCCCCCAAUUCUCUAACCUCAGCCUUUGGAAAGCUGAAAUCAAAGGUUUGCGAACUUGAGUUUGACCUGGCCUGCAUAAGGAGACCCUGCU
rnacentral:lncRNA from 1 species